CUAGAGGGGGUUGAAAGUGAAAGCCGCCAAAAACUGGCGGAAUGCUCUCGAAACCAAUUCACUUGAGUGAGACAGAGAAGAGUGGAAUUUCGUGUGUAGGGGUGAAAUCCGGAGAUCUACGAAGGAACGCCAGGUAAAGAAGAUCACCCAGAUUAUGCAUGUCUCUGAG
rnacentral:ncRNA from 1 species